ensembl:misc_RNA Y_RNA Y RNA
GGCUGGUCCAAGUGCAGUGGUGUUUACAACUAAUUAAUCAGAGCCAGUUAAAGAUUUCUUUGUUCCUUCUCCACUCCUGCUGCUUCGUGUGCCUAGUCUUAA